ensembl:lncRNA
CAGAAACCAAUGAAAGAAGCUGCAGUCUCAAAAAUUCGCUCAUUUGAUUCGUUCAAACACAAUGAUUCAAUUUGGAACGAACGAAACAAGCGACCUCUAAUGAGUGAGUGUUUGAUUCAUUCACUCAUCCGGUUCCUUCAAAACACUGAUUCAUUUAGGAAGGAAACAGCUACUGACUCAAACUGUGGAUUUGUUUGGAUGUAUUUCCUUUGGCACAGAGAAAACAAAGUACCUGCAAAUAUGACAUCUAAAAUGAGCGGUGCUUUCAUAACCCCCUAAUCCCCCCAAAAAUAAAAGAUGCCAGGGGGCAAAGAUUGUGGAGGGUCCCGGUAUUCUGCUAAUGGAAGUGAUUGACAUCUGGCUAUCUGUUGUGGAAAUCUCGCAGCCUCUUUGCCCAAACCACAUCUCUUUUUCUGUUUACUGGACGAACAGCAAGACACAGACAGACGGGUGGCAUGAGUCAGAGUCAUAUGCUGUUAUUUACUCUGUGGAAGGAAAGGAAGAAAGGAAUGAGGUUGACGACAUAUGGGCCAAUCUGUGGAGAGGAGAAAGCGGGAUGGAGGAAGAGGUUGACAGUGUGUCUGGAGUAAGCGCAGACAGGGAGACAGUAAUUGAGAUCUACUCAGACCUGGAGUGUUGGGACUCUGUUAAUGGAAGCUGCUCCAUAGUCAGCAGACCUCCAUAAUGACUGCACCUGAGACAGAGAGAGGCAGCAAACACAGACCAGACUGCUCUGUGCCCUGACCUUUUAAUCUGUCCUUCACUUCCCCCAUUUUCCCUUGCUCUCUCUUCCCACGUCUUUCUGUACCACCUGUCUUUUACAAUCUGGCCAUUUUGAUUUUUUUUCUUUAACUGUCAUGAAUUGUCACAACUGUGCAUUUAAACACACUGACAGUCCGCAUUGCACACUGGGACUGCUGGACUGAGGGGUUUCUGGUUUUUAAACUGAUCGGCUGGAUCAAUGGCAUCAAAAAUCUAUGUAAAGCCCAGAUCUGCCGCUCAUCCUCUGGUUGUCUGGCCCUCUGAUUGGCAGAGGAUGAGCCGGGAAGGGGGCCACAUUUGCAGGCUGGAGGGUUGUAGGAAGAAUCCAGCUGUGACUCUGCAGACCUGCUGCCAAUACUGAAUGGGGUUACCCUCCCGCUCUCAGCACUCUCCAGAGGAUAUCAGAGGAGAGGGAAUUGACAGAACAGUCAGCUUAAAAAGAUCCAGGAUGUGAGGGAGAGACAAAUGGUCUGUCCCAAAACCUGGUGAUCAGCAAUUUAAAGCAACAUAGGUACACUCGUUCUACAGCGUAUAUAUUCUUCUAUGUGUGUGUGUGUGUGUGUGUGUGUGUGUGUGUGUGUGUACGGUACAGUUUUUAAAGAGUUUUUAAAGUGUUUUUUUGAAAGAAGUCCUUGUGCUCACAAAGGCUGCAUUCAUUUGAUCAAAAAUACAGUAAAACAGUAAUAUUGUGAAAAGUUAUUACAGUUUAAAGUAUUUUAGAAUUUUCAGUCAUUAUCCCAGUCCUCAGAGUUAC